GUCACUUCGGUGACUACGAUGGUAGACUGUUAAGUGAAAUAGACUCGACGGACCCGGAGGGCAGUACUCCGGCGCCUCCACCA
rnacentral:tmRNA from 6 species